rnacentral:rRNA from 1 species
GAUGAACGCUGGCGGCGUGCCUAAUACAUGCAAGUCGAGCGAACAGAUAAGGAGCUUGCUCCUUUGAAGUUAGCGGCGGACGGGUGAGUAACACGUGGGUAACCUACCUAUAAGACUGGGAUAACUUCGGGAAACCGGAGCUAAUACCGGAUAACAUUUAGAACCGCAUGGUUCUAAAGUGAAAGAUGGUUUUGCUAUCACUUAUAGAUGGACCCGCGCCGUAUUAGCUAGUUGGUAAGGUAACGGCUUACCAAGGCGACGAUACGUAGCCGACCUGAGAGGGUGAUCGGCCACACUGGAACUGAGACACGGUCCAGACUCCUACGGGAGGCAGCAGUAGGGAAUCUUCCGCAAUGGGCGAAAGCCUGACGGAGCAACGCCGCGUGAGUGAUGAAGGGUUUCGGCUCGUAAAACUCUGUUAUUAGGGUAGAACAAAUGUGUAAGUAACUGUGCACAUCUUGACGGUACCUAAUCAGAAAGCCACGGCUAACUACGUG